rnacentral:rRNA from 1 species
AGAAAAGCCUCUAACGAUGGGCGGCAGGUAUCCGUACCGCAAACCGACACUGGUAGGUGGGAUGAGUAUUCUCAGGCGCGCGAGUGAUCCCCCGUUAAGGAACUCGGCAAUCUGACCCCGUAACUUCGGGAGAAGGGGUGCCCCGCUAAGGUGAGAAGCCCUGCGCUUCGAGCCUGAGGGGGUCGCAGGAAAUCGGCCCUGGCGACUGUUUACUAAAAACACAGGGCUCUGCUAAGCCGUAAGGCGACGUAUAGGGCCUGACGCCUGCCCAGUGCUGGAAGGUUAAGGGGAGGGGUUAGCCUGAUUCGAUCAGGCGAAGCUCCAAACCGAAGCCCCAGUAAACGGCGGCCGUAACUAUAACGGUCCUAAGGUAGCGAAAUUCCUUGUCGGGUAAGUUCCGACCCGCAUGAAUGGCGUAACGACUGGGGCGCUGUCUCGACGGGGGGCUCGGCGAAGUUUCAAUGCAAGUGCAGAUGCUUGCUACCCGCGACUAGACGGAAAGACCCCGUGAACCUUUACUGCAACCUGAUAUUGCAUCCGGGUGUGUCUUGUGCAGGAUAGGUGGGAGGCGGAGAAGUGGGGGCGCCAGCUCCCAUGGAGCCACCCUUGAGAUACCACCCUUGACAUAUCCAGAUGCUCACCUGCGGGAGUUAUCCUCCCGAGGGACAGUGUCAGGCGGGCAGUUUGACUGGGGCGGUCGCCUCCUAAAAGGUAACGGAGGCGCCCUAAGGUUCCCUCAGCACGAUUGGAAACCGUGUGGUGAGUGUAAGGGCAGAAGGGAGCCUGACUGCGAGAGGGACGCCUCGAGCAGGGACGAAAGUCGGGCCUAGUGAUCCGGUGGUGCCGUGUGGAAGGGCCAUCGCUCAACGGAUAAAAGGUACUCCGGGGAUAACAGGCUGGUCUCCCCCAAGAGUCCACAUCGACGGGGAGGAUCGGCACCUCGAUGUCGGCUCGUCGCAUCCUGGGGCUGGAGCAGGUCCCAAGGGUUGGGCUGUUCGCCCAUUAAAGCGGUACGCGAGCUGGGUUUAGAACGUCGUGAGACAGUUCGGUCCCUAUCUGUCGCGGGCGCAGGAUACCUGAGGGGAGCUGUCCCUAGUACGAGAGGACCGGGAUGGACGGACCUCCAGUGUUCCAGUUGUCCUGCCAGGGGCAUCGCUGGGUAGCUGUGUCCGGAUGGGAUAAGCGCUGAAAGCAUCUAAGCGCGAAGCCCACCCCAAGAUGAGGUAUCCCACUGGGUCGACCAGGUAAGACCCCGGGAAGAUGACCCGGUUGAUAGGCCCCAGGUGGAAGGGUGGUAACACCUUGAGCCGAGGGGUACUAAUCGGUCGAGGACUUGACCGC